rnacentral:lncRNA from 1 species
AAAACCCGUGGUCAGGAACCUUGUUCUCAUAUUGAAACCAGAGGGUAUUAUUUUUAAAACCUUGGGCUAAAGAUAUCCCCUUACUAUUUUAUGACAUGAACCCCAGGAGAAGGUUUCUCUUCCUGUACAAGCACAAAGGUGGACAAAAUGUAUUUUGUGUUUUAAAAAGCUGUUAAGCUUUUGUCCUCAUGACUAAACUCUUGCCCAAAGAGUGACAAAUUUUAAAACAAGUAAGCACAGAGCAAAAAAUCCCCUUAGUGUUCCACAGUUUGGGGUCUAGAAGCAAAAAUACAAGGUCAGAGUUGAAGACUCGUUUUCCAGGUCCAGUCUGCCACUUGACAGAUUUUAAAGCUGUCUUUCAGUGACUUCUCCUUCCCUCCCAGCACUACAUGUUGCUUCACAGCCCUGGCACCGAUUCCUGCUCUUGACAUUGCUCAAUGGAAGCCAGAAGUCCAUUCUGCAGCCAGAAAUUCUGAGGCUCAUGACUUUGUUUCUGAAAUAUCAGAGCAGCAAUAUCAUUUCUCAAAAAGAAAUUGGCCAGAUUCUCCAGGAAGUGGCAGAAGCCAACUUACUAGAGCUGCCAGAGGCCACAUCUCAGGCUCUUCACCUUUUCCUCUGCCAGAUUCAGAGCAGCCAUUGUCAGGUGGAGCCAGUGCAGGCACAGACCAUUCAGACUUUGCUGGAGCACCUUCCAGAACAGACGAGCACCUGUGCAAAACAUCAGGACAUUGUGUAUCCUUUUCCUGAGCAAAUGCCUUUGAUAAGAAAAGUGAGGGCGGGAACUGUAACAGAAGUAGAAGGGAUACUUAAUCUGCUGCUCCUGACCAUUUUCAGCCAAAGGCAAACAGCACAAAAAGUUGGCUAACUUUGAGAUGAAAUAC